AGUGAACGCUGGCGGUAGGCCUAACACAUGCAAGUCGAACGGCAGCACAGUAAGAGCUUGCUCUUACGGGUGGCGAGUGGCGGACGGGUGAGGAAUAAAUCGGAAUCUACUUUUUCGUGGGGGAUAACGUAGGGAAACUUACGCUAAUACCGCAUACGACCUACGGGUGAAAGCAGGGGAUCUUCGGACCUUGCGCGAUUGAAUGAGCCGAUGUCGGAUUAGCUAGUUGGCGGGGUAAAGGCCCACCAAGGCGACGAUCCGUAGCUGGUCUGAGAGGAUGAUAAGCCACACUGGAACUGAGACACGGUCCAGACUCCUACGGGAGGCAGCAGUGGGGAAUAUUGGACAAUGGGCGCAAGCCUGAUCCAGCCAUACCGCGUGGGUGAAGAAGGCCUUCGGGUUGUAAAGCCCUUUUGUUGGGAAAGAAAAGCAGCAGGUUAAUACCCCGCUGUUCUGACGGUACCCAAAGAAUAAGCACCGGCUAACUUCGUG
rnacentral:rRNA from 1 species